GAAGUAAAAGUCGUAACAAGGUUUCCUUCUUUGAAGCCUUUUGCACCCGACUAUAACCACGUGCAGAGUCCACCUUAAGGGUGGGCGACGUCACCUAUCUGCUGGGAUCCACUUCCGUGGGGACCAGCAGCCAGAUAUGACUCUGUUAUACUUGGUCUACAGAUUAGGCGGUGGCGGUCAGCAUCAUGUCUCUCAAUAGGCAAGUUCUGAUCAAGAUAUAAUCGGUCGCUAUUGUUGGUGUAAAUAGUUGAGAAACGUUCCGUAGGUGAACCUGCGGAAGGAUCAUUA
rnacentral:rRNA from 1 species